rnacentral:lncRNA from 1 species
GGCCUCUGAAGAGCACCGGCAGCUUCCUUCUUAGCAGAGGAGAAAAUCUCUGCCAUCUCGUGCUCGCCUACCUCGACUCGCCAGACGCCCUGGAGCAGAGGAGGAGCAGUGGUCGGCAGCGGCCAGCCGUGCAGGUGCCACACCUGAUGGUCCACCUGGGAGAACCAGGCAGGAAGCCGGAAAGGGGCUCCCGAAUGAGACAUCCUGUGUUGAUCGCAGCCGUCUCCCAGCAUGUGGAGCAACACUAGGACCGUGGUAGAUGUUCAGUCAUGUUCGCUGAAGGAAGAAGGGAGUGAAUGAAUGUCUUCUCUGAGGAUAGCUGAGCAUCCGUGCAUCCGUCUGGCCAUGAGAACUUGGUUGCGCUCACAUGAGGAUCCUGAGCAGGGUCGCAGUGCACGCUCUGCGGGGAGCCGGAAGGAAAAAGAGUCAGCCUUGGGGAACUCGGGACACAGCCAACCCCAGGAAUGUGCCUUUGGGUCAGAGCCCAGCCCAGCUCUGCUUCCACAGGGAGAGAUGGGGAGAGAUGAUCCCAACGUGUGACUCUAAAAGCCGAAUACUAAAGGCUUCUGUAUACUCAGGGUCACAGAAGCUCAACCGUGUCCAUUGGAAAGGCUCUUACUCGUAAUUUAAAACACAAAAAUGAAAAAGAGAUACAGACAGCCCAACUAAAUCCUUGAAAUGCAGCGUGGCGUGAAAAUGGAGCGGCAUUUUAGUUAACGAGGGUCUGGAUGCCAUUCACAGGAAUGCAGUUUCUACAGGGUUCUGCUUUGCAGAGACCUCUCCUGAUAAUAAUAAUAAAUUUACUCAGAACAAU